rnacentral:antisense_RNA from 1 species
UUUUAUGGCGGGUUGCGUGGGGACACCUUCGGGUGUGCCGAGGUACCUAGCACUCGGUCGGCCAACCCUGCGCAAUCCGUCACCUAU